rnacentral:rRNA from 1 species
UUCCGGUUGAUCCUGCCGGACCCGACUGCUAUCAGAGUAGGACUAAGCCAUGCGAGUCGACGUAGCAAUGCGUGGCGAACGGCCCAGUAACACGUAGUCAACAUGCCCAAGGGACGUGGAUAACCUCGGGAAACUGAGAAUAAACCACGAUAGGUCAUGAUUUCUGGAAUGGAUCAUGGCUCAAAUCUACAUGGCCCCUGGAUUGGACUGCGGCCGAUCAGGCAGUUGGUGAGGUAAAGGCCCACCAAACCUAUAACCGGUACGGGCUCUGAGAGGAGAAGCCCGGAGAUGGGCACUGAGACAAGGGCCCAGGCCCUAUGGGGCGCAGCAGGCGCGGAACCUCUGCAAUAGGCGAAAGCCUGACAGGGUUACUCUGAGUGAUUUCCGCUAAGGGGAUCUUUUGGCACCUCUAAAAAUGGUGCAGAAUAAGGGGUGGGCAAGUCUGGUGUCAGCCGCCGCGGUAAUACCAGCACCCCGAGUGGUCGGGACGAUUAUUGGGCCUAAAGCAUCCGUAGCCGGUUCUGCAAGUCUUCCGUUAAAUCCAGCCGCUCAACGGAUGGGCCGCGGAGGAUACUACAGGACUAGGAGGCGGGAGGGGCAAGCGGUACUCAGUGGGUAGGGGUAAAAUCCUUUGAUCCAUUGAAGACCACCAGUGGCGAAGGCGGCUUGCCAGAACGCGCUCGACGGUGAGGGAUGAAAGCUGGGGGAGCAAACCGGAUUAGAUACCCGGGUAGUCCCAG